GUUCUCGAGUGGGAUGCCGGGAGAAAAUGACAGAAGUUUAUUACCUGGGCCGAAACAAACAUAAAGACUGUUAUGGCUAUGGCUCACAGAGACUGCCAUGGCUGAGCAUUGCAGGAGCUGAGUCUAAUCGAAACUAUGACCAAAAUAACUGGAGUACAAAUGGAGUCCUAAAACGUGUUUAGAUAUGAUAACACGGAAUGGGAGUCAGCCGGUUAAUGCUGUGUGAUGGGUUUUGGAGCUUACUAUAACUAUAAGGAUAGUAGUUGCAUACAAAGACACGGGCAGCUCCUGCAUAGCUCCCAAGUGUCCCUAUUUAAGUCUUAAUUCGUUCUGUAUGUCUUUUCUACCCUAAUGUCCAUAAUUUCUAGGAGCUCUAGAUGGUUGGUUUUGUCUGUAUAACCGCUCCACAGCAAUAAAAGCAAAAGUAAUAUGUUCAACUACAAUAGCUAUUUAGAAAUCAGACUGUGUAAAAAAUAUACAUUGUUCUAAAUUAGAUUUUAGUUGCCUUAAAUGGAUUUAACUCAUGUUGUUAUGGUGCCAGGAGGCACUCAAAUCAAGGGGUGGUUUAACCCCAAAAUUGCCUCCGGAGGGUGAUGUACUCUUUCCACCUGGUGGCAUCCCACUUCCUAAAACUAGUGUCCCUCUUUUGUCCACUUCUAAUGUUGGGAGGUAUGCACCCUGUAAGGGAAUCUCAGUCACAUAAUCAAAAUGCUACUUGUACUGACAUCACUACUACUGUGUAACAGUACUUACCCGGUCCACGUGCCAGCAGGGGUCCUCUGAUCACUCCUGUCUUCAGGCAAGCCACAUGCCACUUGAAAACUCCUUGCUCCUGGCAGGCCACGUGCGCCAAACAGUAUUGGGAACGCUGCUUGCAUUGCGAGCACGUUCUUAAAGGGGCAAUGGGAGCCUAACCUUGCGGUCGGCUCCCAUUGGCCCACGUCAUUCCGGCGCCCCCACUCACGCACGUUUCGGGGUGCCGGGAUGACGUGGAUCAAUCAAAGUAAAAGUAUUUAAACUUACCUGGCCCUAGAUUCUGUGCCCUAUUGUGGUUUCUGUUCCCAGUACCCUUUAGUGCGUUGCUA